rnacentral:rRNA from 1 species
UACGGAGGAGGCAAGCGUUAUCCGGAAUUAUUGGGCGUAAAGCGUCCGCAGGGGGCACUUCAAGUCUGCUGUCAAAGGUCGGAGCUUAACUCCGGUUCGGCAGUGGAAACUGGAGUGCUAGAGGGCGACAGGGGUAGAGGGAAUUCCCAGUGUAGCGGUGAAAUGCGUAGAGAUUGGGAAGAACACCGGUGGCGAAAGCGCUCUACUGGGUCGCACCUGACCCUCAGGGACGAAAGCUAAGGUAGCGAAAGGGAUUAGAUACCCCUGUAGUCUUAGCCGUAAACGAUGGAUACUAGGCGUGGUUUGUAUCGACCCAAGCCGUGCCGAAGCUAACGCGUUAAGUAUCCCGCCUGGGGAGUACGCACGCAAGUGUGAAACUCAAAGGAAUUGACGGGGGCCCGCACAAGCGGUGGAGGAUGUGGUUUAAUUCGAUGCAACGCGAAGAACCUUACCAGGGCUUGACAUCCCGCGAAUCUUGCUGAAAGGCGAGAGUGCCUUCGGGAGCGCGGAGACAGGUGGUGCAUGGCUGUCGUCAGCUCGUGUCGUGAGAUGUUGGGUUAAGUCCCGCAACGAGCGCAACCCUCGUCCUUAGUUGCCAGCAUUAAGUUGGGCACUCUAGGGAGACUGCCGGUGACAAACCGGAGGAAGGUGAGGAUGACGUCAAGUCAGCAUGCCCCUUAUGCUCUGGGCAACACACGUCCUACAAUGGUCGGGACAAAGGGGAGCAAGCUCGCGAGAGUAAGCGAAUCCCAGCAAACUCGGCCUCAGUUCAGAUUGCAGGCUGCAACUCGCCUGCAUGAAGGAGGAAUCGCUAGUAAUCGCAGGUCAGCAUACUGCGGUGAAUUCGUUCCCGGGCCUUGUACACACCGCCCGUCACACCAUGGAAGCUGCCAAGCCCGAAGUCGUUACCCUAACCGUUUGGAGGGGGGCGCCGAAGGCUGGGCUAGUGACU